AGCCUAGUGGACAUGGCAUCUGCCCGGUAAGCGGAACACUGUGGGUUCGAUUCCCAU
rnacentral:tRNA from 1 species